UUUUCUUGUAGGGUAUGUUUGUCUUGCAAGAUAAUCGAUUUUGUUGGCUUGCACACAUGUCAGUCAAUCCAUCGCCUGAAAAUGGAGAUUUAUCUCAAUAUAAUUAUAAUCCUCCGGCUGAAAACAAGGCAGCACAAGCUACCAGCAUGCAUCUAAAUUUCCCAUGUGGAAUCAUAAGGGGUGCUCGUUUAAAUUUCAGAAUUUCUUGUGCAGUUACAGCAGAUAUAUCCAACCUUCCUGCAUGAGUUUAUUUAAAGAGUUUGUUUCCAGCUUCUGUGGCUAGAUUUCUCAUGCAACUGGAGGAUCUUUGGAUGGUCAAAUGUGGACUGGAGGAAGUUGUGGCACUUGAAGAUAGUGCAGAAGCAGCAGCAGGACUUGUGUUCCCUUAAGUAACUCUCCUGAUGCUUAAGAAAUUGCCCAAACUCAAGUGGUUUUCUUGAGGGGUUCAUACUUCAAAAUGGCCAUUGUUGAAAGUAUUGGGGUUGAUUAAAUGUGAUCAAAUUGAGAUAUUUGUUUCAAAAUAUUUGAAAGUUGAAGAAACAGUUGAACAAAGCCAACUUGAGACCUCCAUCCAACAGCCACUUUUCUUGGUUGAAGAGGGUCCAUUCCCCAACUUGGAGGAUUUGAGAUUGGGUCAAAAUUUCAACAUGAAGGAGAUAUAGCAUGGCCAAUUUUCGGAAGAAUGCUAUUACAAAUUAAAAAACCUUCAUGUGGAAGGCUAUCUAGCUGUUCCUAAUUGGAUUACUUUUCUUGCAACAUUACAUAAUUUGGAGGAAGUAGUUGUGAAGGACAGUUCCUGGGAAGAAAUAUUCCCAUAUGAAGAACUUUUUGGUCAGCAAAAACAUGCUAGGAUACUCCCACAACUAAAAGAACUACAGCUGUUUGACCUACCAUUGUUUAAACAUUUGUGGAAAGAAGACACAAAACCAAGCCCAAUUUUUCAUAAUCUAGAAAAUCUUUAUCUGUCACUAUGUGGAAAAUUGAAAAAAUUAGUGCCCCCCUCAGUGUCUUUCCAAAAUUUGUCAAACCUUGAAAUAUUGAAAGGUCGUGGAUUGAUUAAUUUAUUUACAUCCUCAACAGCGAAAAGUAUGGUACAAGUCAAGAAAAUGAGUGUAAGUGAAUGCGAAAGGAUAGCAGAAGUAAUAGUAGGAAAGGGGAGGUGAAGCAAGUGAGGUGAUUACUUUCGCCCAGUUGACAUACUUAAAACUUGAUUGCUUGCCAAAGCUCACAAGUUUUUGCUCAGGAAGUCAUUCUUUCGAGUUCCCAUCUUUGGAAGAAGUAAUUGUGAGGUAAUGCCCUAAGGUGAAGGCUUUUUGUCAUGGACCCUUAUGGACACCAGAGCUAGAAAGAGUACAAUCAACAAAAGAAGAUGAAUGGCAUUGGAAGGCUGCCCUGAAUACCAAUACAAUGGCUUUGGAAGGGCAAAUUAUAAUACCAACACACAUAGUUUUGUUGAGAAAGGGUAAGUAUAUUGAUCUUUUUGAUGCAUUGAUGCAUGAACAUGAGAACCUUUUCAUUCUCCCACUAGAUACUUACCAUAAUAGAAAUACGUUCGAAUUAUAUGAAGCCAAUUUUAAAGAACAGUAAAAUCCUCAUAAAUCGCAUAAAAAUUUCUCAAAUAAUACAUGUCAUUUUGUCCAUAUGCAAUUCAUAUAGCACACAUAUAACAAUGAUACUUUGAUGUCAACGAUUAAAAUGAUUGAUGCUUUUAUCUUCAGUAUGUUGAUUUCUAUUACACAAGGUUUGGAACUUUAAAGGUGGAGAUCAACCUUAAAAUGCAGCAGCGGGAAUGUGGCUUGUAAUUACAGUUGGUAGUAUUGGGGAUCGUGUUUCUUUCUCUUGAAAUCAUUUGGUGCAUCAUCCUAUGGUUAUUGAAAUGAAUAGAGUUCAUCCAUUUGUUGUUUGUUCUGUUUGUGUUUCUCUAUUUCUUGUUUUGCCAUGUUUGGUAGAAAAAAAAAGGAAGUACCUGUAGAACAUUGUACUUGUAUGAUGCAUUCCUCUUUGGAGUUUUAUAAACUACCUCUUCUUGGUGCAAAAAGACCAUAUUUGCAUGAAGUUGUGCGUCAUGUUAUCAUUAUUUUGAUGAGUGUUAUUGACUACAUGCUAUCAUUAAAUGU